rnacentral:rRNA from 1 species
UACGGGGGGGGCAAGCGUUGUUCGGAAUUACUGGGCGUAAAGGGCUCGUAGGCGGCCAACUAAGUCAGACGUGAAAUCCCUCAGCUUAACCGGGGAACUGCAUCUGAUACUGGAUGGCUUGAGUUCGGGAGAGGGAUGCGGAAUUCCAGGUGUAGCGGUGAAAUGCGUAGAUAUCUGGAGGAACACCGGUGGCGAAGGCGGCAUCCUGGACCGGCACUGACGCUGAGGAGCGAAAGCCAGGGGAGCAAACGGG